rnacentral:tRNA from 1 species
UCCCUGGAGGACUAGUGGUUAGGCCACAGUACUCUCACUAGUGUGGCCUGCGUUCCAUUCCUGGCCAGUGUG